UAAGGGAAUGGGAUCCCGUGAGAGUUCAGUCUCGUUUGUCAGGAAGUGAUGCUUUUGACACUACAUGUUGCUGACAUUGAACCUGUGAAAGAACCUCAAGCCAGGAGGAGUGAGGGCGUGUUCUUCCUGUCUUCCUCCCUGCUGCAGCUGCAUCUAACAUCCCAGCACAGCCUUGGCUCUUGGCAAUAAGGUUACUUGCUCAGUCUGAUGAAGCUGCUUGGUUCUCCGUUUCCUUUUCAUGGGGGGGAUAUACACGAUCAUGUGAUGGCAGUGAGUUACCCCAGAGGAGAAGAACCUAACGCCAAGUCCUGUAAACAUUAUUUUUGUACAUGUUCCAAUAAAUAGUUAAACUAA